rnacentral:rRNA from 1 species
UACGUAGGGUGCAAGCGUUGUCCGGAAUUACUGGGCGUAAAGAGCUCGUAGGCGGUUUGUCGCGUCGUCUGUGAAAACUCGAGGCUCAACCUCGAGCUUGCAGGCGAUACGGGCAGACUUGAGUACUGCAGGGGAGACUGGAAUUCCUGGUGUAGCGGUGAAAUGCGCAGAUAUCAGGAGGAACACCAAUAGCGAAGGCAGCUCGCUGGGACGUUACUGACACUGAGGCGCGAAAGCGUGGGGAGCGAACAGG